GGAUGGGUGGCAGAGUGGUUUAAUGCGGCGGUCUUGAAAACCGUUGAGGGGCGACCCUCCGGGAGUUCGAAUCUCUCCCCAUCCGCCA
rnacentral:tRNA from 1 species